AGCAGACUUAAACGUUCCUCUCUGCCAGCUCUGAAGAGAGCAAUGGAUCUCCCAGCACAGCGCUCAAGCCCUGCUAAGGGACACACUGCCUUCUCAACAUCUAGAAACUUCUUACUUCCACAUGAGGAAUACAAUGUCAUUUGUUGGAUUUUCACAUGACAACAAAAGAAAAUAAUAAACAAGACCUUGCUUGCAUGGAAAAUUCAUUGCCUAUUGUAGGAAAAGGCAGGGAUGUCAUUACACAGAGCAAAGAAAAUAACAGAGGUUAAUCAAUGUUACUGCUAGCUUGCUCUUAUAUAUACUUAUUUUCAUUUCUGAUGCUUUUUUCCUCUCAAGGGUAAAAAAACAAACAUCAAAUCUCUAUAAAUCUCUCAUGCAGGGCACCCAGCUUUCUGCAGCUCUGUCCUUCUUUGGUUUGUAAUCCACACUUUUGAAGCCCGUCUAAGUGCAUUCAUAGACAAGGCCAUCUCUCCCCUUGGCCUUUGACUGUGGGGCAGGGUGUAAAAAGUGGGAGGUGGGUUAUAUGCUUCUAGUUGGGUAAAUGCUAAGCGUUUUUAUGUGGGUUGCAUUUUAUUUUCGCUUUCUAACAACAUAAUUGAACAUUCAGAAAGGGUGAGUAACUUUCCAAAAGUUUCACAGAUACUGAAAGAUAAGUCAGGGUUCAUACUUUGGUCUGUCUGAUCACAAGCCAGACUAAGAUUUGAACUUCUCUGAGACUGUUUCCUCAAAUUUAAAAUCAGAAUCAUGUUAUCUAAUUCACUGGCUGAACCAAGCUCAUUCCUCACCCAUUUUUUAUUGGUACUUCUUAAAGAAUGUGGUCCUCACUCUCUAGGUUCCAUGUUUUGAGCAUAAAAUUCCUAUCCCUGUACCCCAGGCAGAGAGGACUGGACCAGGCGUGGACCUCUGACCUACAAUAUCCAAGGCAUUAGGUUUUCCUGGUUCAUCACCUCCUUCAAUUGUAGAUGCUGCAGAUGCUGCCCUCUCUGUAGAGGUUUAAGUAAACAGGAAAGAAUGUUUAAUGAAAAUAAGGGGAACAAAGAAACUAUGUGGAGUAAAAGCAGAGAUGACACAUCAGGAGGCCACAAAUGAACAAUAAGUGAAACAUUAGUUCCUGGACCUCAAACCU
rnacentral:lncRNA from 1 species